rnacentral:rRNA from 1 species
GACGUAGGGCGCGAGCGUUGUCCGGAUUUAUUGGGCGUAAAGAGCUCGUAGGCGGCUUGUCGCGUCGUCCGUGAAAACCUGCAGCUCAACUGCAGGCUUGCGGUCGAUACGGGCAGGCUAGAGUUCGGUAGGGGAGACUGGAAUUCCUGGUGUAGCGGUGAAAUGCGCAGAUAUCAGGAGGAACACCGAUGGCGAAGGCAGGUCUCUGGGCCACUACUGACGCUGAGAAGCGAAAGCAUGGGGAGCGAACAGG